GCUCGUAAAGCUCUGUUGUUAAAGAAGAACACGUAUGAGAGUAACUGUUCAUACGUUGACGGUAUUUAACCAGAAAGUCACGGCUAACUACGUGCCAGCAGCCGCGGUAAUACGUAGGUGGCAAGCGUUAUCCGGAUUUAUUGGGCGUAAAGAGAGUGCAGGCGGUUUUCUAAGUCUGAUGUGAAAGCCUUCGGCUUAACCGGAGAAGUGCAUCGGAAACUGGAU
rnacentral:rRNA from 1 species